UACGUAUGGUGCAAGCGUUGUCCGGAAUUAUUGGGCGUAAAGAGCUUGUAGGUGGUUUGUCGCGUCUGCUGUGAAAAUCCGAGGCUCAACCUCGGACUUGCAGUGGGUACGGGCAGACUAGAGUGUGGUAGGGGAGACUGGAAUUCCUGGUGUAGCGGUGGAAUGCGCAGAUAUCAGGAGGAACACCGAUGGCGAAGGCAGGUCUCUGGGCCAUUACUGACACUGAGAAGCGAAAGCAUGGGGAGCGAACAGG
rnacentral:rRNA from 1 species